GUGCUCCAGACACAGAAAGGAUGAGGAUUUCACCAAAGCAGUCACUAAAAGAUGUUUUAAUUCUACAUUAACUUAUUGUUACUCUUUGUAGAGCAUUUCUUUCCUUACCUAUAGAAACAGCACAUUUUGAGAUCUCUGUGAAG